UUCAGAUUAUUAAUCCAUUUAAUGAUUGGCUGACUUGGAGGGGGGUGGUUCUAGUUUUUACAAUUCAUUAUCUAGGCGACACUAGUCCCCUUUGGAUGUGUAGUUGGUGAAGACCCCAUCAGGAAAUGUUUAGAUUCACAGCUCUUGUCACUCUGGUGGUUGUUUUCUCUGCUGUGCUGGAGCUCAAUUUCAUGUUAUGCUGUUUGAAGUCCUCGCCUGUGUCUAAAUCUUGAGUUGUUCCAUCUGUGUUUACCUCUAGCCUUCAAAGUUCCAGGUCUUACAUUAUGUUUUUUUUUGAUCCAUUUAGAAUUGAUUUUUUGGAAGGCUGAGAUGGGUCUUUCGCUCUUUUAUAUAUGGAAAUACAGUUUCCCAGCACCAUUUAUUCAAUAGGUUUUCUUUUCUCAAAUAUGUGUUUUAAUUGUUUUGUCAAAAAAUAAGUUGCCUCAGUGGUUAAGAAAAGUCAGAGGACUUGGGUUUGAUUCCCAGCAUCCCCAUGGUGGCUCACAACUGUCUAUAACUCCUAUUCCAGGAGAUCUGCUGCCCUCCUCUGGCUUCCAAGGGACCAAGCAUGCACAUGAUACAGGGAUAUGUGUAGGCAAAACACACACAUAAAAAUAAUUUGAAAAAAUAGGUUGUUAUAGCUCUGUGGCCUUAUUUCUGAGUCCUCUGAUCUAUCACUCUGCAUGUUUUUUGUACCAGGACCAUGGUGAUUUUGUCACUAUGGCUCUGUAAUAUAAUUUGAGAUCAGAUGUAACACCUCCAGUAUUGUCCUUUCUGCUAAGGAAUGUCUUAGCUGCUUAGGGUACUUGGUGUUUCCAUAAGAAUAUUAGGAUUGUCUUCGCUAAUCCUGUGAAGAAUGUAAAUGAGAUUUUGUUGGUGACUAUAUACCAAAUGUGUAAACUGCUGUUGAUACUGUAGCCAUGUCAUGAUAUUCAUUCUACCUACCAUUGAGCAUGAAAUGUCUUUUCAUUUCUAGUAGUGGCUUCUUCACCUUCAUUUUUCAGCAUCUUGAAGUUUUCAUUGUACAGAUCUUCACCUCCUUUGAUUAACUCUAUUCCUAGGAAUUUUAUUUUUUUAAAGCUAUUGUGAAUGGGAUUUCUUUUUUUCUGAUUUCUUUUGCACAUGUUCAUUAUUGGUGCAUAGGAAAGCUAUUCAUUUUGUGUAUAUUGCUUUUGUAUCCUGCUACUGAGUUGAAAGUGUUUGUAGACCCAGUUUUCUAACUGAGUCUUUAGACCACUUUCCCUGGUUAAUCUAGACACACAAAAAAAAUUCUCAAUUAAUCUGGCAAAUCAAAUUCAAGAACACAUUAAGAUCACACAGUGGGCCCCAGUGGUGAACGUAUUACUAUUAUUUUGCUAAAUGGAAACAAUAUCAAACUGCCCCUUAAAUUUAUAUUCCUAAACCAAUAGCUUAGUGUAGCUCUCAGAUCUCACCAGAGAAGUAUCUCUGUGAAGUAGAUCAACAGAGAAACUCAUGACCAAUCAAAGUGCAGAGAAAAUGUCUGUGGCAUGCUCAGCUACAAAUGGGACGCCUGUACCACACCCCCUCAUUCCAAGACUCCAGGAUCGUUGUGGAAGUAGGGGAAACACUCUAAGAGUGACAGGUCAGGGAAGACAGAAGCAAGCAACGUCACCUGGAUAUGACAGGACCACUGCACUCAUGAACUCGACAGCAGCUGUGAUUGCGCACACCAGAUCAAGGCAGUCAACAUCCAAGCAAGUGAUGAGGAGGGACUCGUGAGUCUCCACCCCUAGCUAAGGAGCUACUGACAGUUGGCUUUGGGAGAAGAGUCUGUUCUCUUUAAGGACGGGGUCUCUGGCCAACAUGUUCACCAUAAAAACCCCAACUUUCUUCAAGAAUCAAAAUAACUACUUGGAGGAUGAACCUAACAUGCUGGAGCAUCCACGUCCUCAGAAGCAGUUUUCAACCAAAGGUGAAUGGAGUCCUCACCCCUCAUCAAGGAAACUUCUUUUUGUAACAGUCAGAGGCCAUCACAGAAAAGAGCCAAUCGAAAUACAGUUGCGGUUCCCAGUCUGAGUGAAUAGACCUGCAGUAUAAUUCCUGCACCUAAGGCUCAGGGGUCACUGUGGGAGAAGGGGUGGAAAGACUGUCAGAGCUAGAGGAACAGGGAGUUUUCUGUGAGAUGUGUCUCCUAAGAAUGUCAGAAGCUACACCCACAAAAUAUCACCAGCCUGGCUGACUAAACAUGAGUGGAACACGGAAGACACCCUUGUUCAAUAGACAUGUCAGUGUCAACCAAUGGACAUCCUAACAUAGAUGUGGGGAGAGCUCAGAGGCCUGGCUUAUAUUCUUAUGAAUUCUAUAUCCAGAAUGUCUGUUAUGUCUUUCUAAUUAUUUUCCAGGAAUAUCAAUUUAAUUUUCAUGUUACGCGCGCGCGCGCGCGCGCGCGCGUGUGUGUGUGUGUGUGUGUGUGUGUGUGUGUGUGUGUGUUAGAAGUAAUGAGUAGAAAUAUAUUCAAUAACUCAGUUCCUUAUUAUAGGGUCUGUUAGGCAUUCAUAGUCUAGCUAGUAGA